rnacentral:rRNA from 1 species
CCAGAGUCAUAUCUCCCUGCAGGUCUCGCCUGGUGCAACACUGAAGCUAGACAGGGUUGAGCCUGGCCAGUACCUGGAUGGGAGACCGCUUGGGGAAGUCUAAUGUUGGA